UACGUAGGGACCAAGCGUUGUUCGGAUUUACUGGGCGUAAAGGGCGCGUAGGCGGCUUAACAAGUCACUUGUGAAAUCUCCGGGCUUAACUCGGAACGGCCAAGUGAAACUGUCAAGCUAGAGUGCAGAAGGGGCAAUCGGAAUUCUUGGUGUAGCGGUGAAAUGCGUAGAUAUCCGGAGGAACACCGGUGGCGAAGGCGGCUUCCUGGACCGACACUGACGCUGAGGCGCGAAAGCUAGGGGAGCAAACGGG
rnacentral:rRNA from 1 species